GAUGAACGCUGGCGGCGUGCCUAAUACAUGCAAGUCGAGCGAACGGACGAGGAGCUUGCUGCUCUGAUGUUAGGGGAGGGCGGGAGAGUAACACGUGGAUAACCUACCUAUAAGAGUGGGAACACUUCGGGAAACCGGCGAAAAUAGCGGAGAAUCUUUUGAACCGCAGGGUUCGAAGGAGAAAGACGGUCGUGGGGUAACUAAUAGAUGGAUACCCGCUGCAUGGGCUGGUUGGUAAGGUAACGGGCUACCAAGGCGACGAUGCAUGACCGACCUGAGGGGGUGAUCGCCCACACUGGAACUUGGACACGGUCCUUACUCCUACGGGAGGCACCAGUAGGGAACCUUCCGCAAUGGGCGAAAGCCUGACGGAGCAGCGCCGCGUGAGUUAUGAAGGUCUUCGGAUCGUAAUACCCGCUUAUUAGUUAUGAACAGAUUUGGACUUAACUGUGCACUUCUUGACGGUACCUAGUCAGAAAGCCACGGCUAACUACGUG
rnacentral:rRNA from 1 species